rnacentral:rRNA from 1 species
UGCAAGCGUUAUCCGGAUUCACUGGGUUUAAAGUGUGCGUAGGCGGACAGGUAAGUCAGUGGUGAAAUCUCCGAGCUUAACUCGGAAACUGCCUUUGAUACUCUCUGUCUUGAAUAUGGUGGAGGUAAGCGGAAUAUGUCAUGUAGCGGUGAAAUGCUUAGAGAUGACAUAGAACACCUAUUGCGAAGGCAGCUUACUACGCCUAUAUUGACGAUGAGGCACGAAAGCGUGGGGAUCAAACAGG